rnacentral:rRNA from 1 species
UUGAAAGGGAAACGAUUGAAGUCAGUCGUGCUGGCGUGAAAUCAAUUUCGUGCAGCUUGGACUUCACCGUUAAGCGAGCCUUAAAACCGCUUAACGGUGAAGUCCAGUUGUGCGGGGUGCACUUUUACAUCAGCUGGUUAGCAUCAAUUUCGACUGUCAUAAAAAGGCUAGAGGGAUGUGGCUCCUUCGGGAGUGUUAUAACCUUUAGCGGAAUGUGGUGGUUGAGAUUGAGGUUUGCAGCGGAUAUUUCUUCUACCUGGCCUCUUGUUGGUGUCUUGGUAGCGACAGCGUGCUGACGUUAUUAGGAUCAGCCGGCGAAAAGGUUAGAGUGGAAGAUUCGUUAAGGAUGUUGACGUA